rnacentral:rRNA from 1 species
CAGACGAGGAGCUUGCUCCUCUGACGUUAGCGGCGGACGGGUGAGUAACACGUGGAUAACCUACCUAUAAGACUGGGAUAACUUCGGGAAACCGGAGCUAAUACCGGAUAAUAUAUUGAACCGCAUGGUUCAAUAGUGAAAGACGGUUUUGCUGUCACUUAUAGAUGGAUCCGCGCCGCAUUAGCUAGUUGGUAAGGUAACGGCUUACCAAGGCAACGAUGCGUAGCCGACCUGAGAGGGUGAUCGGCCACACUGGAACUGAGACACGGUCCAGACUCCUACGGGAGGCAGCAGUAGGGAAUCUUCCGCAAUGGGCGAAAGCCUGACGGAGCAACGCCGCGUGAGUGAUGAAGGUCUUCGGAUCGUAAAACUCUGUUAUUAGGGAAGAACAAAUGUGUAAGUAACUAUGCACGUCUUGACGGUACCUAAUCAGAAAGCCACGGCUAACUACGUGCCAGCAGCCGCGGUAAUACGUAGGUGGCAAGCGUUAUCCGGAAUUAUUGGGCGUAAAGCGCGCGUAGGCGGUUUUUUAAGUCUGAUGUGAAAGCCCACGGCUCAACCGUGGAGGGUCAUUGGAAACUGGAAAACUUGAGUGCAGAAGAGGAAAGUGGAAUUCCAUGUGUAGCGGUGAAAUGCGCAGAGAUAUGGAGGAACACCAGUGGCGAAGGCGACUUUCUGGUCUGUAACUGACGCUGAUGUGCGAAAGCGUGGGGAUCAAACAGGAUUAGAUACCCUGGUAGUCCACGCCGUAAACGAUGAGUGCUAAGUGUUAGGGGGUUUCCGCCCCUUAGUGCUGCAGCUAACGCAUUAAGCACUCCGCCUGGGGAGUACGACCGCAAGGUUGAAACUCAAAGGAAUUGACGGGGACCCGCACAAGCGGUGGAGCAUGUGGUUUAAUUCGAAGCAACGCGAAGAACCUUACCAAAUCUUGACAUCCUCUGACCCCUCUAGAGAUAGAGUUUUCCCCUUCGGGGGACAGAGUGACAGGUGGUGCAUGGUUGUCGUCAGCUCGUGUCGUGAGAUGUUGGGUUAAGUCCCGCAACGAGCGCAACCCUUAAGCUUAGUUGCCAUCAUUAAGUUGGGCACUCUAAGUUGACUGCCGGUGACAAACCGGAGGAAGGUGGGGAUGACGUCAAAUCAUCAUGCCCCUUAUGAUUUGGGCUACACACGUGCUACAAUGGACAAUACAAAGGGCAGCGAAACCGCGAGGUCAAGCAAAUCCCAUAAAGUUGUUCUCAGUUCGGAUUGUAGUCUGCAACUCGACUAUAUGAAGCUGGAAUCGCUAGUAAUCGUAG